rnacentral:rRNA from 1 species
GACGAACGCUGGCGGCGUGCUUAACACAUGCAAGUCGAACGAUGAUCUCCCGCUUGCGGGGGUGAUUAGUGGCGAACGGGUGAGUAAUACGUGAGUAACCUGCCCUUGACUCUGGGAUAAGCCUGGGAAACCGGGUCUACUACUGGAUACUACUUCCUGCUGCAGGGUGGGGGGUGGAUAGCGUGUUACUGGUUUUGGAUGGGCUCACGGGUUAACAGCUUGUUGGUGGGGUAAUGGCUCACCCAGGUGACGGCGGGUAGCCGUCCUGUGAGGGUGACCGGCCACACAGGGACCUAGGCAAGGCACAGACGGGUACGGGAGGCAGCAGUGGGGAAUACUGCACAAUGGGCGGAAGCCGGAUGCAGCGAGGCUGCGUGUGGGAAGACGGCCUUCGGGGUGAAAACCUCUUUCAGCAGGGAAGAAUCCACGAGUGACGGUACCUGCAGAAGAAGCGCCGGCUAACUACGUG